AUUUUCUACAGAGACACGGGUCCCUCCGACCCCAGCGAAUAAACACAUUCUUCCACUGUUCUUCAAGGGCUUCAAAGAGAUAGAACACUAAGUGGAACUUAUCAGAAAUCUUCACUCAUCGGAUGUCUCCAAUUUUCCAUCUGUAUGUGGAUUUUAAGUUUUGUGUAGUACUUCUCUGCUCUGUGAAAAUUUCCAUCUAGGACGAAAAUAGUGAUAAGGAGGGAAGAACUUCGAUGCCACCUAUGUAUUUGACGAAAUUCCCCAGUGGAAGAUCUUCAUGGUCAGCGAGUUUGGAUAAACUCCGUAAUGCAAAUUUUGACAUAAGCUGUUCACGAAAGUUGCAGUUUAUGACAUAACGAUUUCGUCCUUAAAAAGUUCUUGCUCUUGCAUGGAUGGAUUUCCUCUUUAAAGUGGUGAAUUUUAAAAAGCUUGAGGUUCACUGACUGGUGCAAUCAAGGUUUCACUUUUUUGGAACUGAACGGUUUGCUUUUAAUUGAUAAACAAUGUCGGAAUAAACAUCAACUCGCUCCUCUCCUUGAAAGCAUCUGAAGCUGGAAUUGUGGUCUUCAUUCUAUUGUUGGUCUGGUUCACGUGUCGCCAGCUGGUUCUAUAUUACAACAGAGAAAGGUGUAGUUCUGAUUACAAUUCACUCUUAUUCUAUAUAUAUAGCACCUCUCGUGUUAUAUAUUUAAUAAAGCAAAUAUAGAUUUAUGCUUCAUUCUGCUUUGGAGUUUGAAUUAGAAUUUAUUACAGAACUCAAAGUGUUUAAGAUUUUUUUUUCUUUUUUCAACAUUUAAUGGAAGCAAAGAGACUAUUGUGUUUUGAUUCUGAUCAAUUGACAAGUUACUAUUUCACAA